CACCACUGCUGUUUGCCGCCGUUGCAGACCUACCACUGACUUCCAUCCCUCGGAUCCCCCAGGGUGCCCGCUGUGCUCCUGAUCCAACGAGGUGCCCAUUGCCGCUCCCAAUUGGCCUAAAGGCUUGCCAUUGUUCCUGCAUGGCUAAGUGCCUGAGUUCAUCCUAAUCCAGCUAAACACUAGUCUCUGGGUUCCACGCUUCUCUUCCAUGACCCACAGCUUCUAAUAGAGCUAUAACGCUCACCACAUGGCCCAAGAUGCCAUUCCUUGGAAUCAGUGAGGCCAAGAACCCCAGGUCAGAGAACACGAGGCUUGCCACCAUCUUGGAAGCAGCCUGCUGCCAUUUUGGAAGUGGCCCACCACCAUCUUGGGAGCUCUGGGAGCAAGGACCCCCUGGUAACAGUUUUAAGCCAUUGUGCCUCAGUUAAAAAUGAGACGGUUCUCAGUCGUGAGAAGUUUUACUGGGUUGCUCUGAUCAGAUGACUAAAAGGAGAAAGAAAAAACAGGGAGAAGGAAGGAAGGGAAGAAAUAAAGAAUGAGAGAAAGAAUAAAGGAAUAUACAGAAUGAAGGAUGAAAGGACUUCUUGAGAAGAUGAAAUAGAUCAUCUGCCUUAAGGUUCUGGGCCAGUGUAUGCAACACAAUAAAUGUUCAAGGAAUGGUUGCUAUGAUGAUGACAAUGAUGAUGAUGACAACAAUGAUGAUGAUGAAAUGAGUUGGCUUCAGUCCAGAGCAGAAUAUGUUCCCUAAUAAAGUAUGAGGAUAUCAGCAGAUGCCACUGGUGUCCCACCCAAAGCUGCAAACUUACUUAAAGUUUUUCUGUAGCUUCAGGGGACAAUUUCCAUAAUGACUGAUGGCAUUUUACCCCAGGUGUGGAUCAUCAGGAGGUUGCCUCUCUCUGGCUGCAGAAUUAUCAUUUUUAGAGAAGCAGUGUGAUAAUCGUGGAACCAUCACGUACAUUCCUA